GUCUUCCUUUCCCCUCCAGCGACGCCGACUAGACCGCCCAACACCAUCCAAUUUCUGGCCGUCGACUCCCCUUUGCCCUAGCGUCGACAUCCCAUUUUCGACGCCACAGCGUUUCGGCAGGUCGCUAGCCACCCGAGCUCUCGUCGCCGGCUAACUCCCUGUGCCCUAGCCGCCAGCCACCGAGAGCCCUCGAAGUGCAUCCGAUGCUUGACCUAGCCCUGCCAUCAGAAGCCUGCUGCCAUCGGCGACGAAGCCUCAGCCACAUACUCGGGGUGUUGUUCCACAGCCGACUACUUUUGGGUUUUCUGAUCAGUUUAAGCGUCAACAGAAGUUUGGUUUUGGCAACUCUUUGAUUUCCAGCAGCGGCUCGGUUCUUGUUCCAGCAACAACGAUCAUUGGUUGUGGAGGGAUGUGAGGUAGAGGUAUAGUGUGCUGUGGGUUGCUCUUUGAUUCAGCAGCACCUUGGAUCCCGACAGGACCUCCUUCAGGCAGUACAAUUAAGGUUGUGCGUUUGAGGACUUUGACGCGAGACGAGUAUCUCGAUUUGUCGGACUGGACCAUUUUAUCGGAG